rnacentral:rRNA from 1 species
AUUGAACGCUGGCGGCAGGCCUAACACAUGCAAGUCGAGCGGAGCGGCGGACGGGUGAGUAAUGCCUAGGAAUCCGCCUGGUAGUGGGGGAUAACGUCCGGAAACGGGCGCUAAUACCGCAUACUAUCAGAUGAGCCUAGGUCGGAUUAGCUAGUUGGUGGGGUAAAGGCCUACCAAGGCGACGAUCCGUAACUGGUCUGAGAGGAUGAUCAGUCAAUCGUGAACUGAAACACGGUCCAGACCACUACGGGAGGCAGCAGUGGGGAAUAUUGGACAAUGGGCGAAAGCAUGGUCCAACCAUGCCGCGUGUGUGAAGAAGGUCUUCGUAUUGUAAAGCACUUUAAUUUCGAAGGCAUUACGAACAGAAUAAGCACCGGCUAACUUCGUGCCAGCAGCCGCAGUAAUUC